AGUCUCAGCUCAGCGCACAACCAGUCAACGCAAUCUCACUGCACUGCUCUGUCUGCCCAGCCAGGUGAGCCAGACAUUCACGACUCACUCACAGGAAAAUCUGCUGCUGGAAAGAGGGAGGUGCAGCCAAAAGAACUACAAGACAUAGAUUAAAAAGCUCUAGCAGCUACUACUAUAUUUUGCGUACACCUCAGACCAGUAGCAACAGGCAGACUUCCUCGGCUUCCCAAAACAUCGCCGGCUGCUGCAGCCAUGAAAAGAGGUGCUCACAAAUAUGAACAAACCCACAAGAAUGGGGACAGAGAAUCGUCACGCUCCAAAACCUGCCGUCAGCUCAGUUCAGACAGAUGUGGAAGGCCAACAGCACAGUACUCAGUGACUUUUAGUCUUCUGAAACCACAAAUUUCUCUAGGAUGAGGAGGCAGAACAACACAGAAAUUCCAGUUCUUAAAAAUUAAAUUCAAAACUAACCUGAUGUUAAGCUCAGCCCAAGCAGACACCUUGAAAGGAGAAAGCAGCAAUGAAUGAAACAAAGCAACGCCACAAGUUUUAAUUCCACGUUGACGUACGCCACGUUGGGUAGCGGGCCAUAAACCUGCCUACCUCAGCAGGACCCCGGCGUCUCCCCUCUGCACACUGCAGAUCGCAUCCAGUAGCUCUUCUGCAGUGGU